CAUUUUGAACCGCAUGGUUCGAAAUUGAAAGGCGGCUUCGGCUGUCACUUAUGGAUGGACCCGCGUCGCAUUAGCUAGUUGGUGAGGUAACGGCUCACCAAGGCAACGAUGCGUAGCCGACCUGAGAGGGUGAUCGGCCUUUAACACUGGGACUGAGACACGGCCCAGACUCCUACGGGAGUGCAGCAGUAGGGAAUCUUCCGCAAUGGACGAAAGUCUGACGGAGCAACGCCGCGUGAGUGAUGAAGGCUUUCGGGUCGUAAAACUCUGUUGUUAGGGAAGAACAAGUGCUAGUUGAAUAAGCUGGCACCUUGACGGUACCUAACCAGAAAGCCACGGCUAACUACGUGCCAGCAGCCGCGGUAAUACGUAGGUGGCAAGCGUUAUCCGGAAUUAUUGGGCGUAAAGCGCGCGCAGGUGGUUUCUUAAGUCUGAUGUGAAAGCCCACGGCUCAACCGUGGAGGGUCAUUGGAAACUGGGAGACUUGAGUGCAGAAGAGGAAAGUGGAAUUCCAUGUGUAGCGUGUGAAAUGCGUAGAGAUAUGGAGGAACACCAGUGGCGAAAGCGACUUUCUGGUCUGUAACUGACACU
rnacentral:rRNA from 1 species